ACUUCCUCUGCUGCUCUCAAACGUCACUUUUCAGAAGUUGCCACGAAUGCACGGCGGAAAGAUGUGGAAGCUGGUGAGCUGUACACUGUGCCUUUUUGUCUCCUCACAGAUCAGCUCAUGGUCUGUUUGGGCCUCAGCAGAAGGACAGGACGAAGAAGUCAAGAUAGAGGUUUUGUUCAAGCCCGAGCACUGCGAACCAAAGAGCAAGAGAGGAGACUUUUUGAACGCGCAUUACGACGGGUACCUCGCCAAGGAUGGGUCCCAGUUCUACUGCAGUCGGUCGGACAAAGCUGGGCACGCUCAGUGGUUUGUGCUGGGUGUGGGACAAAUCAUCAGGGGCCUUGACAUGGGGAUGGUGGAUAUGUGUGCUGGGGAGAAACGGAAAAUAACAGUUCCACCGUCUCUGGCCUUUGGAGAGAAAGGAAAAGCACUUUAGUUGACAAAGGCCUCACACCUCUUGCAGUUUGCUACCCAUCCUCCCCUGGCAUGAACUGUGAGCAUGCUCAAAGGUUGAAAGAUCCAGUGCCUCCUAAUGCCUCGGUGAUCUUUGAGGUGGAGGUGUUCGCUGUGUCCAGAGGACCGCGAAGCAUGGAAGCUUUUGGAGAGAUGGACAGUAACAAAGACAGGAGUCUCACCAAAGAUGAGGUGAAACAGUACGUUAAAAUGCAGUAUGAACAAGAUGGGAAGAAACAUGAUGAACCUUUCUAUGAGAAGAUCAUGGCUGAUAUAUUCCAGAAGAACGACAAGGACAAAAACGGAUUCAUCAGUGCCAAGGAGUAUAAUAUUUUUCAGCAUGACGAGCUGUAGGGUUUGAUGCAGCGGGUAGCGAUAGUGUUUUUUAGAUUAUGUGCCUUUGAAAAAGAAGAGAAAAACAGGAAUAUAUACGGGGGGAAACCAUCAUCAUCAUGGAGGUUUUUUAUAUUUUCAGUCUGUUAAGGUUUUUUAUAUUUGAAUCAAACAUUUUAUUUAACCUGCUACAUCACUUCUGUAACAUUUUAAGGUUUCCUACCCCGAAUGCCUUCCUAAAAAAAUAUCUGGGUGUGUUCUGGCCUGUUGAUGUCCCUGCCAAAGGAAAAAAAGUGUAUUUGUCUUUCAUAUGAGUGAUUUGGACUCAUGGGAUUUUCCACUAUCAGUUUGAAGAUUGUAUUUUUUAGCCUGGCUCUAAAAUAUCCUAUUUUUUAAUACUAUGUGGACAAAUUAUUCUUAAAACGUAGCUGUGGAUUUCACAGGGAGACACCAAAUGUUCAUGUCGACCAGUUUGCCACUAUAAUGAUAUGUAACGCAAGGUCUAAGGGGGAUCCAGCCUGGUCUGUGGUUUAAAAGGUGCUGAAUUGUUUCACAGUAUUGGUAAAUGGUAUUUGGACUGCAUUUAUGUUGCACCUUCUCAAGUCUUCCGACCACACAAAGCACAAAGUGGAUUUUUCAUUAACAAGCAGACAAGAAAUAAAUGUGGUUUUUUUGAAAACUUAAAAACCCUGAAAACUCACCUCUCUGUUUAGUACAAUGUAGGUCAGACGAUCUCUGACCCCUGUGAAAACUUUGCCUUCUAUGAAAAUACCACUAAAUGUUAGCAUUUGAAAAGUGUUUUUCUUUUGGUUUACAUCAAUUCUAAAGUAGGAAACUGAGAACAACUUUGGAUACUUGCUCCUUCAGCCCUCUUAGCUUUUGUACAUGAGGCUACAGUUUAACAGCGAAGCUAAACCAGUGAACCAAAAGAAAAACCCAAAAUACUGCAGAAAUAUAGAUAAAUGGACCUUUAACUGUUGUCGGCCCUGUGAAUGUCCUGCCCUCUACCCUGCAGUUUUCACACUCGUGUUCACGUCCUCUGAUGGAGAUGUAUGUAUGGAAAAAGUGGGUCAGGACUGAUCUUUCCUGCCUCGUGUAAAGGUCCAGCAUAACGAAAACAAAAACAAAGACAAAGUGUCUGUGAUUGAGUUUGAACAAAACUUGGUUGUGAGUUUUUGUCAGACAUGUUUACACGUUCUGUUUACAUCUUUUUGUUGCAUCAUUAUUAAGUGAGGAUCGUUCUCUGUUAAUAAACCAUAUGAUGAGCAUCA